rnacentral:tmRNA from 1 species
GGGGGUGACUAGUUUUGACGGAAGGUCACCUUUGUUUCGUGCAAAGCGGUGAAUGCUCGAGAACACCUAAAAUCUCGAGUAACCCAAAGUGUAAAAUCACUUGUUAAGAGCCCUUACGCUCAGUUCGUAGGUGCUCCUGCUUACGCUUUAGCCUAAGCAGCAUCGAAUCUCACUCUUUCUGACAGUGAGAUACCCGGUGUAAUAUAGUCGGAAUAAGGAAGUUUUUUGCUCGUACAACUUCUCGAAAAUUGAGAGCUCGGUAUUAGCUUCUUUUGUUCGUUUUAUACACUAAUACUUAAAUUCACUUCACGGUGAAAAAAAGAACUACGCUUUGUAGAGUCGUCCCAAAGACCCUUUUCGGACGGGGGUUCAUUCCCCCCCACCUCCACAA